rnacentral:misc_RNA from 1 species
AAAAGAAAGUCAUCCUGGCCAACGCCUACACCCGGGGACAGGUCAACGCCUUUGUCCAGGCCGAGGCGUCGCAUCACUUCCAUCGCAUCGUCAAGUGGGUGAAGACCG